rnacentral:rRNA from 1 species
AUGUACAAAAUACCCCUGCCAGAAACUAAGAAUGUUCAUAGUAAUUUGAAAAGUAUCUCAUGCUUGAUUCUUAUACACUUGCAUACACAUCCCUCCUCCUCCUCUUCUCUUCUUCUUCCUCCUCUCGUCUCCCCCAAUCCGAUGUGUGCGUGCAUUUAUUUUUGUAGGUUCGUGAAGAGGCCAAUCUGGUGUUGUGAAAGAAGGGGGCUGGCCAUGGAGAAGAUCCCACGGCGAGCUCCUCAGGACUGCUUUCAAUGGGGGGAGAAGCUUAGAGAACUUCAAUUAAAUAGAAGAACUAUCCAUGAUUUCAUUGCUGUGAAGGAAUUCAAGUUGUCGCACCUGGAGAACUUGCCCAUCAGAGGGAGCAAUGAAGACAUUGUUAAAAUAGUACCAUAUGUGCUCCUACGUGUUGAACAAUGUUAUGUAGUAGUGAGAUAA